rnacentral:rRNA from 1 species
UGGGGAAUUUUGCACAAUGGGGGAAACCCUGAUGCAGCGACGCCGCGUGAUUUAGAAGGCCUUCGGGUUGUAAAAAUCUUUUCUAUGGGAAGAAAAUGACAGUACCAUAGGAAUAAGGACCGGCUAAUUACGUGCCAGCAGCCGCGGUAAUACGUAAGGUCCGAGCGUUGUCCGGAAUCAUUGGGCGUAAAGGGUACGUAGGCGGGUAAGCAAGUUAGAAGUGAAAUCCUGUAGCUCAACUACAGUAAGCUUUUAAAACUGCUCAUCUUAAGAUAUGGAAGGGAAAGUGGAAUUCCUAGUGUAGCGGUGAAAUGCGCUGAUAUUAGGAAGAAAACCGGAGGCGAAGGCGACUUUCUGGCCAUAAUCUGACGCUGAGGUACGAAAGCGUGGGUAGCAAACAGG